rnacentral:piRNA from 1 species
UGAGAUGUGGUCCCCGCUCAAAGGCCC